rnacentral:rRNA from 1 species
ACAGGGGGGGCAAGCGUUGUUCGGAAUUACUGGGCGUAAAGGGCUUGUAGGCGGCCAACUAAGUCACACGUGAAAUCCCCAGGCUUAACCUGGGAACUGCGUGUGAUACUGGAUGGCUUGAAUUCGGGAGAGGGAUGCAGAAUUCCAGGUGUAGCGGUGAAAUGCGUAGAUAUCAGGAAGAACACCAAUGGCGAAGGCAGCUCUCUGGGACGGUACUGACGCUGAGACGCGAAAGCGUGGGGAGCGAACAGGA